UACGUAGGUGGCAAGCGUUGUCCGGAUUUACUGGGCGUAAAGCGUAUGCAGGCGGAUGGUUAAGUAGGAAGUGAAAGGUUGGAGCUCAACUCCAACACGGCUUCCUAUACUGGCUAUCUUGAGUGGCGGAGAGGAAGACGGAACGACACGUGUAGCGGUGAAAUGCGUUGAUAUGUGUCGGAACACCAAUGGCGAAAGCAGUCUUCUGGACGCAAACUGACGCUGAGAUACGAAAGCCAAGGGAGCAAACAGG
rnacentral:rRNA from 1 species